AGGUGUGGCUAAAGGUGGUAGGUGUGGAGCAAGAUCUGCGUCAAUCUUUUCUGUAACCUCACAGUAAAUAUUUUGUUAUUUAUUUGUUUUAAGACUGAAGUAGGAAGUUUCUCCCCCACCCAGUUUCUCCUGCUCUGGUGGCUGGGAGGGGGCUGGAGUGCCCAAGUUGUGUACACAGCAAAGGGAGCUAGGCUGCCUGCUUUGCAGAAGUUCAGGCGGCCUGUUGCGGAGGUGCUCUAACUCAAGGCACUUGGGACUCAAGGCACUCAAAGGAGUGAAAAAAUUAUACUGAGAUGCUGGGACUCUUUAUGCAGUAGCUGGGAAUGGAAGGAGAUUCUCUUUGGAACCAUUCACAACUAGACAUAACUUCAGCGCUUAGAACAAAUUACCUUUUUUCCACCAUCAAAUGCAAAGAUACAUUAAGCAUCCACAAAGUUAGUCUGAGCUAUUUGCUCUGUACCAUGGAAUAAAUGGAGGAAGAAACAAUACGUGGAAGAAUCCAAGUUGGAAAUGAUGCAAAUGAGCGAUGCACAUUUCCGAACUAAUCUCCAAGUGAAACAGCAAUUUCAGCAGAAGAAAGUGGGCUUUAGAAAAUUCACUAAUCCUUUCAGUUGAUCUGUGCCUCAGCUAAAAAGGAAUUCUGAAGAAAUCCAGAAAGACUUUCUUAACUAUACAGGUUUCGUACUGGCAUCUUAUCUCCUCCAGGACCUUGUUCAGGUCACGUGAUGGAGCUGUAUCCAACUCUACAUUAAUACAAUCACCAAGCUGAUGUCGAAGUGGACUAGCUUCCUAGGGGGAUGGAAGAAUAAGAGAGUAAACAUUUAGAAGGGAUCUAUUUUUCUCAUUCCCAUCAAACACCACCUAUGGAUAUCUCCUAUGCUCUUGUAGUGGCCUUUCUCAUUUCUAACCUCUUGAUCACCAACAAUGCAGGUCAAUACAAAUUCUACUACAGAAAUAGAAGUUAACACGAUCAUUUUCCUAUACCCUCCUCCAAAAUUCAUUUUCCAGUGUUUUAAAGUGCAGGAGAGAAAUUCAGCAAAUGUUCCUGAUUUUCUAAGAAAGCCAAUUAUUUCUUUUUUGAAAAAAAAAUACAUUGUAAAGUGAGUGGAGGUAAUAAGAGUACCAGAGUAGGAUGUUUUAAAUACUGGAGAAUGAAAGUAGAGAGUAUGUGCAUGUUAUUAGGAGUACUUUAGAUGAUAUCCAAGAUAAAAUUGGAUGAAGCUUUACAGGCCUUUAGAUAAAGGAAUGCUGGUAAAUUCUUUAUAUGACAAAGACUUGACAAAUGAAGUCCUAACAGCAACCAGUAUAAACAAUUUUAAAGAAAAAGUUAAAUGGAGCUUCACUCACUGUUGACCACAAAUGCUAUCUGCAAAUAGUGGCUGAAACAAGAAUGUUGGCCUCUUAUCUAUAAAGCCAUUGUAUCUCUUCUUAGAUCUAAUAAAUACUUAUAUAUUUCCACAUCUUAAUUUAUGUUACUGUUUAGUCACUGUUCAUUCUUACUUCCUCAUGGUUCUUCCUGAGGCAGAGGAGCUCCUCUGUUAGGGACUCAAGCUCUGUCUCCAGAUCAGUCUUGCAUAGGGUCAGGUCAUCCAGAAAUCUAUGCAGACUACUGAUGUCUGCCUUGGCACUCUGGCAAAGCCCAUGUUCAUAUUCAUACCUUUUGAACGAAGCAAGAGUAACAGUAAAUGAACUGUAUGCAAAAAAACCACCUCAUUUUCAAUGUAAGUCCUCUAUUGUAUCAUUUCUACUUGUGAAAUAAAAUGAUAUAUUUAUAUAUAUUUCCAAUUUGAA